GUGACAUGUGGAGCUGACUGAUACUAAUAGAUCGAGGACUUAACCAACGCUUUUUAAAAAAUGAAAUACCUUCUUAUUAUCUAGUUUUGAAGGAAUGAAAAUUUCUUCUUGCAUUUUGACUUCAUAUAUGUUAUGAUAAUAAAUGUGCUAAAAGAUUAAAUGUUUGGUGGCGAUAGCGAAGAGGUCACACCCGUUCCCAUUCCGAACACGGCAGUUAAGCUCUUCAGCGCCAAUGGUAGUUGGGGGUUUCCCCCUGUGAGAGUAGGACGCCGCCAAGC
rnacentral:rRNA from 1 species